AUCAUUCUUUUUUAUAGCAAUGAUUAGUUUGCUCUCAAAAAGAUGCUUUAGAAGAAUCUAUUCAGUUGUUUCUUGAAAAAGUUCUGCAUGUGGCAAAAGAUGCGGUGGCAAAGAUUUCAAAUGAAGCGAACCGAUGCAUAAAUAUUUUGUUGGCAAAAUAAGAUCCUUUCAGAUAUCUUGUUGUAUGUACAAAUCAUUUCUCUUUAUGUAUCACUGUUACUUUUGUUUCUGCUUCGUGCAUCCCUACAUAGUUGGUAUCAUGGGUUAUCAACCCCUCAAACUUGUUCUGCUAUCGGAUACCAACCAGAUCAAUUUAGUGUGAGAUUAGUUUUCAGUUGAACCAAUUUUAUAGUUGAAUAUGUUGCUUUGUUGGAACGUAUGAAGGUUUGAGAAGAAGUACAUUGCAACUUAAUGCAAAACCAUAUAACCAUGGUUCUUGGAAUC